rnacentral:rRNA from 1 species
AGAGUUUGAUCCUGGCUCAGGAUGAACGCUGGCGACGUGCUUAACACAUGCAAGUCGAACGGAAAGGCCAGUGCUUGCGCUGGUACUCGAGUGGCGAACGGGUGAGUAACACGUGGGUGAUCUGCCCUGCACUUCGGGAUAAGCUUGGGAAACUGGGUCUAAUACCGGAUAGGACCAUUGGUUGGUGCCUUUGGUGGAAAGUUUUUCGGUGUGGGAUGAGCUCGCGGCCUAUCAGCUUGUUGGUGGGGUAAUGGCCUACCAAGGCGUCGACGGGUAGCCGGCCUGAGAGGGUGUACGGCCACAUUGGGACUGAGAUACGGCCCAGACUCCUACGGGAGGCAGCAGGUGGGAAUAUUGCACAAUGGGCGCAAGCCUGAUGCAGCGACGCCGCGUGGGGAUGACGGCCUUCGGGUUGUAAACUCCUUUCGCCAAAGACGAAUGUGGACGGUAUUUGGAGAAGAAGCACCGGCUAACUACGUG